GACGUAGGGGGCGAGCGUUGUCCGGAUUUACUGGGCGUAAAGCGCGUGUAGGUGGCCCGCUAAGUGGCGUGUGAAAGCCCACGGCUCAACUGUGGGAGGUCGCGCCAAACUGGCAGGCUUGAGGGCAGCAGAGGGUAGUGGAAUUCCCGAUGUAGCGGUGAAAUGCGUAGAUAUCGGGAGGAACGCCAGUGGUGAAGACGGCCACCUGGGCUGUCCCUGACGCUGAGACGCGAAAGCUAGGGGAGCGAACGGG
rnacentral:rRNA from 1 species